rnacentral:tRNA from 1 species
AGUUAAAUAAUUUAUUGAAAAUAUUUACCUUGAAAGUAAAAAAAAGAAUUAUUAUCUUUUAACUU